UCUACUAAAGAAAUCUUGUUUUCAUAUUCAAAUUUUAUGGCAAAAUCUUCUAUAAGAAAAUGCUGUUCCCAUCUAUAUCUGCCUAAAAUUAUAUCUUGCAUAUUUUCUCAUUGUUUUCACAAUUUUUCACCAACCUUUUUUUCCAAAUGCAAACAAAAUGAAAUUUACAACCAUAAAAAUUUUGAGGUAUUGUUGGUCUGUUUUCUGGAAUCUAAAAUUUAAAUACUGUACCUUAAGAAGAAGAAAAAAUCAGCAAAAAUACAGCCUAAAAAAUAUGUGAGAUUAAAGCCAAAAAUCUUACUCUUAUCAUUGGCUUAUAUGUUAACCAAUCAACACAAGUUAUACAAAUCUUGGGGAUCAAAAGAAUGUCCAUAUAUUUUCAUUGUAGUAUUCCAGGUCUUCUUAUUUGGUGCACUUUUUAUUAACAAAAAAAAAAUAUUAGCAGAACCUUCUGAAAUUGUUACUGUGUAUCCAUUAUUAUUCGUUGAAUUCCAAUUUUCGUGAAUUUUGGUACAGAUGAAUCAUAUGUUCAACAUUUUACAUAUGUAAUAUAUGGAUUUGGCAAAAGCCACUAAUUCAUAUAUCAAUGCAAAAACAAUCCAUGAAAGUUGGUACCCACGAAAAAUAAUGAUACCAAGAAAAAAAAUGAAUAAAAUUUAGAAUGGAAAUGGGUAAUGUGCCAAAGAGACAACAACCCGA
rnacentral:lncRNA from 1 species